AGAGUUUGAUCCUGGCUCAGGACGAACGCUGGCGGCGUGCCUAACACAUGCAAGUCGAACGGGGAUAUUGAAUUUCGGUUUAGUAUCCAAGUGGCGCACGGGUGAGUAACGCGUGAACAACUUGACCUUAAGAGGGGGAUAACAUCGAGAAAUCGGUGCUAAUACCGCAUAAGACCACAACCUCGCAUGGGGAAGGGGUCAAAGGAGAGAUCCGCUUAAGGAGGGGUUCGCGUUCCCAUUAGGUAGUUGGCGGGAUAACAGCCCACCAAGCCG
rnacentral:rRNA from 1 species